UGGGGAAUAUUGGACAAUGGGCGCAAGCCUGAUCCAGCAAUGCCGCGUGAGUGAUGAAGGCCUUAGGGUUGUAAAGCUCUUUCGCACGCGACGAUGAUGACGGUAGCGUGAGAAGAAGCCCCGGCUAACUUCGUGCCAGCAGCCGCGGUAAUACGAAGGGGGCUAGCGUUGUUCGGAAUUACUGGGCGUAAAGGGCGCGUAGGCGGCCUGUUUAGUCAGAAGUGAAAGCCCCGGGCUCAACCUGGGAAUAGCUUUUGAUACUGGCAGGCUUGAGUUCCGGAGAGGAUGGUGGAAUUCCCAGUGUAGAGGUGAAAUUCGUAGAUAUUGGGAAGAACACCGGUGGCGAAGGCGGCCAUCUGGACGGACACUGACGCUGAGGCGCGAAAGCGUGGGGAGCAAACAGGGUUAGAUACCCUGGUAGUCCACGCCGUAAACGAUGAAUGCUAGACGUCGGGGUGCAUGCACUUCGGUGUCGCCGCUAACGCAUUAAGCAUUCCGCCUGGGGAGUACGGCCGCAAGGUUAAAACUCAAAGGAAUUGACGGGGUCAUAGCUGUUUCCU
rnacentral:rRNA from 1 species